AUGUUCCUACGGGGGGCAGCAGUGAGGAAUAUUGGUCAAUGGGCGGGAGCCUGAACCAGCCAAGUCGCGUGAAGGAAGAAGGUACUUAGUAUUGUAAACUUCUUUUGUCGGGGAACAAAGGCGGAGACGCGUCUCCGGAUGAGUGUACCCGAAGAAAAAGCAUCGGCUAACUCCGUGCCAGCAGCCGCGGUAAUACGGAGGAUGCGAGCGUUAUACGGAUUUAUUGGGUUUAAAGGGUGCGCAGGCGGGAGAGCAAGUCAGCGGGAAAAUGUCGGGGCUCAACCCCGGCCGGCAGGUG
rnacentral:rRNA from 1 species